UACGUAGGGUGCAAGCGUUGUCCGGAAUCAUUGGGCGUAAAGAGCGUGUAGGCGGCUCGAUCAGUCCGCUGUAAAAGUCCAGGGCUCAACCCUGGGAUGCCGGUGGAUACUGUCGAGCUAGAGUCCGGAAGAGGCGAGUGGAAUUCCUGGUGUAGCGGUGAAAUGCGCAGAUAUCAGGAGGAACACCGGUGGCGAAGGCGGGUCUCUGGGCCGAUACUGACGCUGAGGAGCGAAAGCGUGGGGGAGCGAACAGG
rnacentral:rRNA from 1 species